UUAAAAGUGCAGUUUCAGUAAAGUGGUAAGAAUGGGAGGACAAUCAAAUGGCACGUGGUGUGUGUGUGUAUGCAUGUGCAUAUGUAUGUUUAGGAUGAGGUGUGUGUGGAGAGUGAGAUGUGUGUGUGUAGGAUAUGAGGUGUGUGAGCUGUGUGUGUGUGUGUGUGAUGUGUGUGGUGUGUGUGUAUGUAGGAUGCGGUGUGUGUGGAG
rnacentral:lncRNA from 10 species